rnacentral:rRNA from 1 species
AGAGUUUGAUCCUGGCUCAGAUUGAACGCUGGCGUGCAGGCCUAACACAUGCAAGUCGAGCGGUAGAGAGGAGCUUGCUCCUCUUGAGAGCGGCGGACGGGUGAGUAAUGCCUAGGAAUCUGCCUGGUAGUGGGGGAUAACGUUCGGAAACGGACGCUAAUACCGCAUACGUCCUACGGGAGAAAGCAGGGGACCUUCGGGCCUUGCGCUAUCAGAUGAGCCUAGGUCGGAUUAGCUAGUUGGUGAGGUAAUGGCUCACCAAGGCGACGAUCCGUAACUGGUCUGAGAGGAUGAUCAGUCACACUGGAACUGAGACACGGUCCAGACUCCUACGGGAGGCAGCAGUGGGGAAUAUUGGACAAUGGGCGAAAGCCUGAUCCAGCCAUGCCGCGUGUGUGAAGAAGGUCUUCGGAUUGUAAAGCACUUUAAGUUGGGAGGAAGGGCAGUAAAUUAAUACUUUGCUGUUUUGACGUUACCGACAGAAUAAGCACCGGCUAACUCUGUGCCAGCAGCCGCGGUAAUACAGAGGGUGCAAGCGUUAAUCGGAAUUACUGGGCGUAAAGCGCGCGUAGGUGGUUUGUUAAGUUGGAUGUGAAAUCCCCGGGCUCAACCUGGGAACUGCAUUCAAAACUGACUGACUAGAGUAUGGUAGAGGGUGGUGGGAUUUCCUGUGUAGCGGUGAAAUGCGUAGAUAUAGGAAGGAACACCAGUGGCGAAGGCGACCACCUGGACUAAUACUGACACUGAGGUGCGAAAGCGUAGGGAGCAAACAGGAUUAGAUACCCUGGUAGUCCACGCCGUAAACGAUGUCAACUAGCCGUUGGAAGCCUUGAGCUUUUAGUGGCGCAGCUAACGCAUUAAGUUGACCGCCUGGGGAGUACGGCCGCAAGGUUAAAACUCAAAUGAAUUGACGGGGGCCCGCACAAGCGGUGGAGCAUGUGGUUUAAUUCGAAGCAACGCGAAGAACCUUACCAGGCCUUGACAUCCAAUGAACUUUCUAGAGAUAGAUUGGUGCCUUCGGGAGCAUUGAGACAGGUGCUGCAUGGCUGUCGUCAGCUCGUGUCGCGAGAUGUUGGGUUAAGUCCCGUAACGAGCGCAACCCUUGUCCUUAGUUACCAGCACGUAAUGGUGGGCACUCUAAGGAGACUGCCGGUGACAAACCGGAGGAAGGUGGGGAUGACGUCAAGUCAUCAUGGCCCUUACGGCCUGGGCUACACACGUGCUACAAUGGUCGGUACAGAGGGUUGCCAAGCCGCGAGGUGGAGCUAAUCCCACAAAACCGAUCGUAGUCCGGAUCGCAGUCUGCAACUCGACUGCGUGAAGUCGGAAUCGCUAGUAAUCGCGAAUCAGAAUGUCGCGGUGAAUACGUUCCCGGGCCUAAACUCACCGCCCGUC